GGCGGCGAUGAUUCUAAGUGUUGGAGGGUUUCCGCCCUUCAGUGCUGCAGCUAACGCAUUAAGUAAUCCGCCUGGGGAGUACGACCGCAAGGUUGAAACUCAAAAGAAUUGACGGGGGCCCGCACAAGCGGUGGAGCAUGUGGUUUAAUUCGAAGCUACGCGAAGAACCUUACCAGGUCUUGACAUCUUCUGACAGUCUAAGAGAUUAGAGGUUCCCUUCGGGGACAGAAUGACAGGUGGUGCAUGGUUGUCGUCAGCUCGUGUCGUGAGAUGUUGGGUUAAGUCCCGCAACGAGCGCAACCCUUAUUACUAGUUGCCAGCAUUAAGUUGGGCACUCUAGUGAGACUGCCGGUGACAAACCGGAGGAAGGUGGGGACGACGUCAAAUCAUCAUGCCCCUUAUGACCUGGGCUACACACGUGCUACAAUGGAUGGUACAACGAGUCGCGAAACCGCGAGGUUAAGCUAAUCUCUUAAAACCAUUCUCAGUUCGGACUGUAGGCUGCAACUCGCCUACACGAAGUCGGAAUCGCUAGUAAUCGCGGAUCAGCAUGCCGCGGUGAAUACGUUCCCGGGCCUUGUACACACCGCCCGUCACACCAUGAGAGUUUGUAACACCCAAAGCCGGUGGGGUAACCUUUUAGGAGCUAGCCGUCUAAGGUGGGACAGAUGAUUAGGGUGAAGUCUCAAAGGGGGAAACAAAAGAAAAAAUUUAA
rnacentral:rRNA from 1 species